GCAGUAGAGAACAGCUGAUGUUGCAAUGAAGUAUCUUGUCAGACACAGAAAGUAGUCAUUAUUCAUUUUAGGGCUUGUAUAGCCAUUGACGACUCGUUUUACUCUGUAUUGGUGCGAAUUCUCACCUUGUGAUUUCCUGUUCCUCAUUUGAGCCUUUGAGAUUAGGCCCUAGAAUUGAUUUGUGUCUAUGAUUGCCUUAUUGACCGGCUCCAAAUUGUGGAUGCUAGGCAAUUUGUGCUUUUGCUGUAUUCGGUUCCAUUGCUUGCAUGUGAUUGCAAAAUUGACAAAUAAAUCCGUGGGUUGAUUAGAAGCAAUCGAUCGGCCUACUCCCUCCCGCCUCGACUAUUUCAUUCUCUCGCUAGAGCAUUGUGUUUAGAUUCUGGGCAGGACAUUGCGUCAUUAAUGCUGAUUGGGAUGUAUAGUUCCAGGAGAAGAGCACUAACUGGGUUAUACGGUGUUGAUGGAUCAUGUUCUAACACCAUUGUCUCAAGGACUGCCCUCGUACCUUCUUCUAUUUCGGAUCCAUCUGAUGUGUCUUCCUUGUAGUUUACGUAGGGUAGUUGACGUUUUGAUCUUCUUGUGGGCUGUUCUUCUAAAGGUUGAGGUAUGAUUGACAUGUCAUUAAUUACUAGUGCCUGUUACAUAUCAAUCUCAGCAUUGAUAUGUUGUUCCGCAUUUGGCUCCCAAUUGACUGCCCUAAUCACUUCUCCUUCUCGGUUAUCGAUGUCCGCCCAUCUAUUCUGAUUAAAUUAAGUGGAUUCAAUUUUU